GUUAUUCCCGAUUCCAAAUAUCUGUUACCUGAUGCCCUAGGCACUUUGACGGCAGCAGAAUAUUUA
rnacentral:tRNA from 1 species